UACGUAGGAUGCAAGCGUUGUCCGAAUUUAUUGGGCUUAAAGGGUGCGUAGGCGGCCUAUUAAGUUAGUGGUGAAAACGUUCGGCUUAACCGGAUACCCGCCAUUGAUACUGAUAGACUUGAGUGCGACAGAGGGUGUUGGAAUGUGUGGUGUAGCGGUGAAAUGCUUAGAUAUCACGCAGAACACCAAUUGCGAAGGCAGAUGCCUAUGUCGUAACUGACGAUGAGGCACGAAAGCGUGGGGAGCAAACAGG
rnacentral:rRNA from 1 species